UUCGUAUUGAUCUUGUAUCCUGAGAUUUUAUUAAACUCACUUAUUAAUUCUAGUAGCUUUUUGGGGUAAAUUCCAUGAGGUUUUGUACAUAGAUGAUUGUGUUGUCUGUGAAUAAGGACAGUUUUACUUUUUCUUUUCCAAUGCUUUUUACUUCUUUUUCUUGCCUUAUUGCACUGGCAAUAAGUACAAUGUUAAAUAGAAGUGAUGAGAAUGGACCUCAUUUGUCUCUUCCCCCAUAUUAGAGGAAAAGCAUUCAGUUUUUCACCAUUAAGCAUGAUAUUAGCUGUGGGUUUUUGUAGAUACCUGUAGAUGAGGAAGUUCCCUUCUAUCUGUACUUCCCUGAGAGUUUUUUUUUUUUUAAUCAGGAAUGAAUGUUGGAUUGGCAAAUGCUUUUUCUGCAUCUUUUGAGAUGAUUUACUAUUUCAGUUUGUUAAAUGACAAAUUCUAUUAAUUGACUCCCAAGUGUUAAACCAAUGUGCAUUCCUGUGAGAACCUCUAGUUAGUCAUGAUGUAUUAUCCUUUUUAUGUUUUCUUAUAUUCUACUUGCUAAGAUUUUGUUUGAGAUUUUUGCAUCUAUAUUCAUGAAGGUUAUUGGUUUCUAAUUUUCUCCUCUUGUACUGGUUUGUCUAUUUUUUGCUUCAGAGUGGGGCUGGCCUAAUAGAAUGAGUUGGAAAGUAUUCUCUCCUUUCCAGUUUUUGUGUGUGUGUGUGUGUGUGUGUAGUUUGUGUAGAAGAAGAAUUUAUGUAGUUGGUAUUAUUUUUUCCUUAAAUAUUUGGUAGAAUUCACGAGUGAAGCCAUUUGAGCCUUGAAUUUCCUCUGUGGGAAGGUAUUUAACUACGUAUUACAUUUCUUUUAUAGAUAUAUGGCUAUUCAAGUUAGUAUCUAUUUCUUGAGUAAACUUUGGUAGUUUGUGUCUUUCAAGGAAUUUUUCCAUCUCCAAUGUUAAUUCAUUUUCAGAGACUUAUCAAUCAGCCCUUUGUUUUCUUUAGAAUUCCCUUGCUAUCUGUAGAGUCUGCUUGAUAUCAUCUAUCUCAUUCCUGAUUUUGGUAGUUUGUUUCUUCUCAAUUUUUUCCUGAACAGUCUGACUAGAGGUUUGUCAGUUUUUUUUAAUCUCAAAGAACUAUAUUUUGGUUUCAUUCAUUUUCUCUGUUGUUUUUCUGUUUUCCACUUUAUUGGUUUCUACUCUGAUCUUUAUUAUUUCCUUUCUUUUACUUAAUUUGAGUCCAGUUUUCUCUUUCCAGUUUCUUAACAUGAAGCUGAGUUCAUUGAUUUGAGACCACUAUUCUAAGUAUUCUUAUUAUAAAAUUUUCCCUCAGUACUAUUUUAGCAGCCUCCCACAAAUUUGAUGUAUGUGUUUUCAUACUUAUUCAUUUGAAAAUACUUUCUAAUUUCCCUUUUGAUUGCUUUUUUGAACCAUGGGUUAUAUAGACAUGUGUUAUUAACCUAUAUAUAUUUGGAGAUUCCCAGGGAUAUUGCUGUUAUUAAUUUUUAAUUUAAUUCCAUUGUAUCAGAGAACAUACGCAUGUGACUUGAAUUCUAUUAAAUUUAUUGUGAUUUGUUUUAUGGCCCAGAAUAUGGUCUGUCUUACUUAAAUGCUCCUUGUGUACUUGAAAAGAAUGUGUAUUGUGUGGUUGUUAAAUAGAAUGUUCUAUAAAUGUCCGACCAAGUCAGUCGAUAAUGUUGUUGAAAUAUUUUAUACUCUUAGUGAUUUUCCGUCUACUUGUUCUAUCAGUUAUUGAGAGAGGGGUGUUGAAAUCUCAGACUAUAAUUAUGGAUUUUCAUAUUUCUCUUAGCACUUCUAAUGGUUUUUUCUUCAUGUAUUUUGGAGUUCUGUUAUUGUCAGGAGCAACAUGUUUAGAAUUGCUGUGUCCUCUUGAUGAAGUAACUCCUUUAUAUUAUUAAUUGACCUGGUAAUAUUCUUUGCUCUGAAAUUUAAUUAGUGUGAUAAUAAUAUAGCCACUCCAGUUUUCUUUUGAUUAGAAGUGGCACAGUAUAUCUUUUAUCUACUCUUAUUUUUUUAUUUAAAAAAUUAUUUCAUGGUAGGAUAUGCUCAUAAAAUCAAGCUAAGGAUCAAUGUAAUGUCUAAUUUUGCUUAACAGGCUAUGCCUGGGAUUUCAGGAUGUCUGCUUGUAUGUGUGUGUUUGUGUGUGUACAUGGGUGUGUGGUUUCGAAUGAAUUCUUGAAGUUCUUUUAUUUUCUUAACAGUUUUUCUCAUAUAGUCUUGGUUCAUGGGAGGUGCUCAGUAAAUAUUUGUUAAAUUGAAAGUUUAACAAAAAUAGACUUUCUAUCCUUUUUACUUUUAACCUUCUUCUGUCCUGUUGCCUUUCUGCUCUUUUUGUUGUUGUUGUUAAGUUUUGUUUUAUGUCCAGGAUGUAAUCUAUAUUAGUGAACAUUCUAGAGCAUUUGAAAAAAAUGCGUAUUCUGCUAAAGUGCGGUAUAUCUCAGUGAGGUAUUGUUGACUGAUUUUGUUGUUCAUUUCUUCUUUACCCGUGCUGAUGUUCUGUCUCAUAGUUCUAUCAGUUGCUGAGAGUGGAGUGUUUAAGUCUUCAACUAUAAUUGUGGAUUGCCUUUCUCCUGUCUGCUCUUUCAGGGUCUGCUUUGUGUAUUUUGAGGCUCUUUUGUUUGGUGCACAUGUAUUUGGAGUCAUUAUGUCUUCCUGGUGGGUUGAUCCUUUCAUCCUUAGGUAACGUCGUUUGUCUCUAGUAAACUUUGCUCUGAAAUCUAUUUUAUCUGAUAUUAGGAGAGCCGCUCUUACUUCUUUGUUUUAGAUUCAUAUUUACAUGGUAUAUCUUUUUCCAUCCUUCUCCUUUCCAUUUAACCAUGUUGUAUUUGAAGUGAGUUUUUUGUAUAUAGGAUAUUGUAGGAUCACGGGGCUUUUGCUCGUGUCAUUGUUUGUUUGUUGGAUCCACUCUGCCUGGUGAAGGUAGAAGCCUAAGCUCCCCUCCUGGCCUUGCUGGCUUGGGUAGAGGUAGGGUCACAGUCUUUCCCAUGGUGUUUGGUUGGUGUAGAGUAGUUCUUGUCUAAAAGUUUUUAUCUUGCUUGGCUACUCCUUUCCAUGUCCUUUGGUUAGGGAGAAAGGCUUUUGUUGGGGCUUUUCUUGUCUGUACCCAUUGUCAUUUCCAGGUUGUCAGCCUUUCCAGCUCCAAAUCUGGGAUAUACGUGGCCAAAAAAAAAAAGAAGAAGAAAAAAAAUCCCAAGGAACUCACCAUCAUGUCAUUCCUUGGGUCCCAAGGUCCCUAGCUGGUGUGCCACCCUCUUUAAACCUUCUGUUUGUUUCAUAUAUAAUGUUUAGGAGUUUUCACUGUACUCUGUGAGAAAAACUGAGGAAAGCAUUUCUACUCCAUCUUGCUGGAAGCAUAUUUCUCCUCCAUUGUCUCUGAAAAGAUGUGUUACUGGACACAGAAUUCUAAGAUGACAUUUUUUAAAUUUCAGCACUUUGAAGAGAUUGCUCCACUAUCCUCUUGCUUGUAUUAUUUCCCAUGAAAACUCUUCUCUAAUCCUUAUUUUUGUUUCUCUGUUCAUAGCGUAUCUUUUUCCUGGUAUCGAACAAUUGGAUUAUGCUCUGCUUUGGUGUGAUUUUCUUCAUGUUUUUGGUGUUUGGAGUUCAUUGAGAUUCUUGGAUCUGUUGGUUUAUAUCUCUUAAACAGUCCCUCUCUGGAAGCAGAUGGUUCGACCAAAUUUACAGCCAGUGCUAAAACAGCUGUUAGUUUGUAGUUGAACUCUGAUGUUUACUAGUCCUGUAUUGUUUAUUUAAUAAGCAUCUAUAGUCUUUGUACACUUUUUCCACAGUGUUCUGUUUUUAGCAUUUGGGAGCAUAAUUCGAAUCCUUCCCUAAGUCAAAGGCCAAGCUCAUUUUUCAUAUGACAGAGAGACGUCUUCAGGGAGGUGAAACUUGUCCUCAAGAGAAGAGUUUGUACAUGUUAGGAGCACAGGCUUGGAACCAGACUGACUUGGGUUUCAACUCUGUACGUCUUGCUGUGUAAUUGUGGGAAUGUUCUUUAACCAUUUUGAGCCUCCAGUGUGUAAAACGGGGAUGAUAAUUGUAUCUACCUCAUAGGGUUGAUAUGUGGAAUAGCUGAGAUAAGUAAAUGUGGAACAUAGUUAAGCAGUCGUGAAAUUGUAGCUAUUAUUGCUGUUGGUAUUUUUUUUAAAGUAGUCUGUAUUUUUUAGUGCAGCUUUAGGUUGACAGUAAAAUUGAGCAGAAGGUACAGAGACUUCCGUUACUCCUAUUACCCCUACAUAUGCACUUCCUCCCCUACUGUCAAAAUCCCACCCAGAGAGGUCCAUUUGUUACAAUCCAUGAACCUACAUUGACACAUCAUUGUCAUCCAAAGUCUGUCGUUUACAUUAGGAUUCAGUCUUGGUGCUGUACAUUCACUGGGUUUGGGCAAAUGUAUAAUGACAUGUAUCUGCGAUUAGAGUACCGUACAGAGUAGUUUCACUGCCCUAAAAUUCCUCUUUUCUUUGUCUAUUCCUCCCUCCCUCCCCGCUAACUCCUGGCAAAUACUGAUCCUUUUAUCGUCUCCAUGUUUUUCCGUUUUCCAGAGUGUCAUAUAGUCGGAAUCAUAUAGUACAUAGCCUUUUCAGAUUGACUUCUGUCACUUAGUAAUAUGCACUUAAGCUUCCUCAUGUCUUUUCAUGGCUUGAUAGUUCAUUUCUUUUUAUCCUUGAAUAAUAUCCAGUUAAUCGUUGUACCAUAGUUUAUUUAUCCAUUCACCUGCUGAAGGACAUCUUGGGUGCUUCCAGGUUUUGGCAAUUAUGAAUCAAGUUGCUACAAACAUUUAUCUGCAGAUUUUUGUGUGAACAUAUUUUCAACUACAGUACUUUGGCUAAAUAUCAAAUAAUACGAUGGCUGGAUCGUAUGGUAAGAGUAUGUUUAGGUUUGUAAGAAAUCGCCACUGUCUUCCAAAAUGGCUGUACCAUUUGCAUUACCACCAGCCAUGAAAGAGAGUUCCUGUUGCUCCAAGUCUUCAUCAGCAUUUGGUGUUGUCAGUGUUUUGGAUUUUGGCCAUUCUAAUCAGUGUGUACUCACAUCUUGUUGUUUUGAUUCGUAAUUCCCUAAUGACACGUGAUGUUGAGCAUAUUUUCAUAUGCUCAUUUGCCAUCUGUAUAUCUUCUUUGGUAAGUUGUCUGUUCAGGUCUUUGCCCAUUUUUAAAUCAGGUUGUUCAUUUUCUUAUUGUUGAGUUUUAAGAGUUCUUUGUAUAUUUUGGAACUGUUGGCAUUUUAAUUUGAAUGAUCAUUGUCUUAAGUGCUUGGACAAAGGCUUUGUUGAGACCUCAGCAUUGCAGGCUGUAAAACCUGAAAAAUCUUUUUUUUCAUUUUUUGGAAGGAGGUAGAGAAAUUAUCUUCACCUGAAAAAUAUUACAGGAUGUUCCCAAAGGAACAUCUUGAUCAAAAAGAAUUUCCAGCUACCUCUUAGAUGUAUUGUGACUUCAUGGGCCUUCCAUGCUGUGAAUCUUUCCCCACAAAAUUAGCUUGUACCAUGUGUUUCUUGAUGAUUGCUUUAGUAAGUAGUGGGAAAUGACUGCUCAUCACAGCCUUGCCUUUCUUCUGUGUCUUUCUUACAUGCAUGUCAGUUAACAAGGGCCUGUGCUGUAAUCAGCAGCAGUGACAGUACACCUGUUAACAAAUCACCCCAACUUCCAGAGAACUGGCCUAGAUCAUUCUGUAAAACAUAGUCACUAAUGCUAUAGAAGAAAAAUAUGUCCUAUUGUUAAUGAAGGUGGUAUUAUAUUGUCUGAUUUCCAUCCUUCACCCCUUCACUGUGCGUCAGUAGAUUUAUAUCAUGGGAUUCAUUUUCAUUUUAUGCCUUUUAUUUACGCCCCAGUUCUUUUGCAAGCAGUUUUAAUUCUCCCUUUUAUGAGAGUGAGGCUCUGUGUCUUUGUAGUUCUAUAUAAAAUAAAGGGAGUGAUUGUUUUUAAGGCAGAUUUGAAAGAAAUAUAAUGGAUUUCAGCUACAACAAUUUCUCCCCAUUUAGAGGAGAUGAACACCUAGUUAGAUGAAGAACGUCAUUCCUAGUAUAAUUUGAAUACAUCCUGUUUCCAUGACAACUUGUACUUACCAGCUUGCCUGCAAGAGAAGUGUUUACACUGGGGUUCCAUUUCUUUUAAUUUCAAUAAUUUCAUUCCAGUUUGGGGCUAUUUUUUUUUUUUUUUUUGACAUGGGCUGCUUCUGAGGGAAAGAAACCUAAAGACCAUUUUGGAGGUAACUUCACCUUCAGAAUAAAAGGAGGGGAUGCACAGGGCAAAUGUUAAUGAGCAUGGGAAAUGAAGAUAUUUUUGCAGGUCAUACUCAUUUUCUCCUAUCUUCCAGUUAAAUUAAAUCAACAGAGAUGAUGCAACAACUUAUUAAGAUGCUAUUUGAUUGGACAGAGAAUGAUUCAGUUAUUCAUUUCCAUCUGGACAUUAUACUCAUUAGGCUUGUUUCCUUACUGCUAAUAUAUGUCUUGCCUUUAUGGAUGGUUUGUGCCCUCUUACUGCUAAAUUUCGAUUCUUGCAAAGAGUAUGGUCUUAUUAAUGGUUUUCCCUCAGAAUGAAAGAUAGGAGAUUAUUUGCAUCAUUGACUAUGCUUUUGCAACAUAUGAAAGAAAUGAUACUGUAUUUUAUUGACAAGAUUAUGUUUCAUACAAUAUAAAAGAUGACCCUUGGGUAUUUAGGAAUGAUAGAGAAUCAACUCAAAGUUAGGAUAAUUCAGAGUUUAGUUCUGAGGGAUCUAGAAGGUUUUGAAAGGACAAAAAUGAUUCUUAAUUAUCUCCAAGAUCAUUGUCAACAUAGUAAAUAUUUAUGACACAUGCAAGGUGAUCUGUGGGCUACCAUGUUGCUCAUAACUCCCACUAGGGACCACAUUUUCUAACACACUUUGUGUAAGUAAUAUGUGCCUAUCCUUCACUUCCCAGAAAAAGACACCAUCUUACCAUAAAAACCAACUGUUAAAGAAACUGUUAAAGAAAUACCAUAACGUGCAAAUUAACAUUAUCUACAGAAUAUGUAACAAAUGAAAAUCAACAGGAAAGAAGUAAAAAACUGACAAUAUCUUUCUUUAUUGGGAGCAUGCAGUUCCUGCUGAUGGGAUUCAUCAUCCCAAUAUUUAUUGAGUAUACGCUACACGAGCCAUCUGUUCUGUGGAGACCACAAAGCUCCAACAUUCAACUGUUCCUGUGACUCCCAGGGAGCCGGAUGGGCUGUGGGGUCACCUUCUCUUCCUCCCUCCUGCCGCCCCAAGCUGUCUGAGUUGCGUGUUACGCAGUGGGAGAGCACAUUGGCCUGG